rnacentral:rRNA from 1 species
AUACGGAGGAUGCGAGCGUUAUCCGGAUUUAUUGGGUUUAAAGGGUGCGUAGGCGGUUUGUCAAGUCAGCGGUGAAACGCAAGGGCUUAACCCUUGACCUGCCGUUGAAACUGAUUGACUAGAAUGCGGAUGCUGUGGGAGGAAUGUGUGGGGUAGCGGUGAAAUGCAUAGAUAUCACACAGAACACCGAUUGCGAAGGCAUCUCACAAAGCAGUGAUUGACGCUGAGGCACGAAAGUGUGGGGAUCAAACAGGAUUAGAUACCCUGGUAGUCCACACUGUAAACGAUGAUAACUCGCUGUCGGCGAUACAUAGUCGGUGGCCAAGCGAAAGCGAUAAGUUAUCCACCUGGGGAGUACGACCGCAAGGUUGAAACUCAAAGGAAUUGACGGGG